GGGGAAUAUUGGACAAUGGACCAAAAGUCUGAUCCAGCAAUUCUGUGUGCACGAUGACGUUUUUCGGAAUGUAAAGUGCUUUCAGUUGGGAAGAAAAAAAUGACGGUACCAACAGAAGAAGUGACGGCUAAAUACGUGCCAGCAGCCGCGGUAAUACGUAUGUCACAAGCGUUAUCCGGAUUUAUUGGGCGUAAAGCGCGUCUAGGUGGUUAUGUAAGUCUGAUGUGAAAAUGCAGGGCUCAACUCUGUAUUGCGUUGGAAACUGUAUGACUAGAGUACUGGAGAGGUAAGCGGAACUACAGGUGUAGAGGUGAAAUUCGUAGAUAUUUGUAGGAAUGCCGAUGGGGAAGCCAGCUUACUGGACAGAUACUGACGCUAAAGCGCGAAAGCGUGGGUAGCAAACAGGAUUAGAUACCCUGGUAGUCCACGCCGUAAACGAUGAUUACUAGGUGUUGGGGGUCGAACCUCAGCGCCCAAGCUAACGCGAUAAGUAAUCCGCCUGGGGAGUACGUACGCAAGUAUG
rnacentral:rRNA from 1 species